GACGAACGCUGGCGGCGUGCUUAACACAUGCAAGUCGAACGGAAAGGCCCUGCUUUUGUGGGGUGCUCGAGUGGCGAACGGGUGAGUAACACGUGGGUAACCUGCCCUUGACUUUGGGAUAACUUCAGGAAACUGGGGCUAAUACCGGAUAGGAGCUCCUGCUGCAUGGUGGGGGUUGGAAAGUUUCGGCGGUUGGGGAUGGACUCGCGGCUUAUCAGCUUGUUGGUGGGGUAGUGGCUUACCAAGGCUUUGACGGGUAGCCGGCCUGAGAGGGUGACCGGCCAAAUUGGGACUGAGAUACGGCCCAGACUCCUACGGGAGGCAGCAGUGGGGAAUAUUGCACAAUGGGCGGAAGCCUGAUGCAGCAACGCCGCGUGCGGGAUGACGGCCUUCGGGUUGUAAACCGCUUUCGCCUGUGACGAAGCGUGAGUGACGGUAAUGGGUAAAGAAGCACCGGCUAACUACGUG
rnacentral:rRNA from 1 species